GACAGAGGGUGCAAACGUUGCUCGGAAUUACUGGGCGUAAAGCGCGUGUAGGCGGACCACCAAGUCGGACGUGAAAGCCCUGAGCUCAACUCAGGAACUGCAUCCGAAACUGGCGGUCUGGAGUAGUGGAGAGGAAAGCAGAAUUCCUGGUGUAGAGGUGAAAUUCGUAGAUAUCAGGAGGAACACCGGUGGCGAAGGCGGCUCACUGGCCCGAUACUGACGCUGAGGUGCGAAAGCGUGGGGAGCAAACAGG
rnacentral:rRNA from 1 species